rnacentral:rRNA from 1 species
UACGUAGGGGGCAAGCGUUAUCCGGAUUUACUGGGUGUAAAGGGGGCGCAGACGGCAGCGCAAGCCAGGAGUGAAAGCCCGGGGCCCAACCCCGGGACUGCUCUUGGAACUGCGCGGCUGGAGUGCAGGAGGGGCAGGCGGAAUUCCUGGUGUAGCGGUGAAAUGCGUAGGUAUCAGGAGGAACACCGGUGGCGAAGGCGGCCUGCUGGACUGCGACUGACGUUGAGGCCCGAAAGCGUGGGGAGCAAACAGG